UACGAAGGGGGCUAGCGUUGUUCGGAAUUACUGGGCGUAAAGAGCUCGUAGGCGGUUUGUCGCGUCUGCCGUGGAAAGUCCGGGGCUCAACUCCGGAUCUGCGGUGGGUACGGGCAGACUAGAGUGAUGUAGGGGAGACUGGAAUUCUUGGUGUAGCGGUGAAAUGCGUAGAUAUCUGGAGGAACACCGGUGGCGAAGGCGGCAUCCUGGACCGGUAUUGACGCUGAGGCGCGAAAGCCAGGGGGAGCAAAGCGGGG
rnacentral:rRNA from 1 species